GAAUGUGCCAGGGUCAAGUCUGCACUGAUUUUCAUGGUGAAUAGAUUACAUGCUUGCAUUCAUGUUCACUUCCGAAGCGCUUAGUGUCUUCCUUCCCUCCCUUACAUAUUAACCUCAAAUACCCCGUGCGGCUCCAGCCAAGCCUCACUAGAGGUACUUAGCAAUAUUGGAUUCCC
ensembl:misc_RNA